rnacentral:rRNA from 1 species
AUGAGCCAUUUCUGCCGCCGUUGCCGGGGAGGUCUACGCAAAAGUCAACAUACCAAGUACCCAUCACAUACCCUUAUCUCCCGCAUUACAUUAUUUGCCAUUUGCCUCUCGUUUUCCUCUCCCCCACUUCACCCUUGCCGUUUUAUUCGCGCCCUCUCUCUAUCCUCCAUCUCUUUCUCCAUUUGCCUCUUUUUGCCCGCUUGUUUUUUGUUUGCUUGUGUGUUAGUUUGCUUGCUUGUCACAAUGGCUCAAGAUAAUACUAAAUUGUGUGACUUCACCAAUACCAACAACAAUGAUUUUAUUAGCACUCCGAUUGCUCCUCUUACCGAUGCUGAAUCUUGUGAAAUUAUACUGCUUUGCUGA